GGCUUGGUAGCUCAAUGGUGGAGCGUCGGAUUCCAACACACGGACCUAUCCGAAGGUUGUGGGUUCAAUCCCCACCCGGGUCA
rfam:Volvox carteri f. nagariensis unplaced genomic scaffold VOLCAscaffold_71, whole genome shotgun sequence.